UGGAUUGCGGAGACGCCGUGUGCAUAUACACAGAAGAGAAGAAUGAUGGUAAUAGAUGGAUUAAUUCUGUGUUCAUUUUAGUAAUAAUUAUUGCUUCUCAAAGCCAUCCCUAAUCUGACCAGAACAAUCACCAAUACCCAAUUUGAAACCAGUUCAUUAGUGAAUUUACAGUUAACAAUCAUUUGCAUAUGCUCUUAGCCAGCAAAGAAAGCUUCAUGGACUUGAUACAUGGUAGACAUUGUUUUGAGAAACCCAAACAACAGAACUAAAAGGAUCAGAUUUCCAUGUUACUAUGGGAGUGACUGUGCAUGCUCAGGCUUGUGUGUGUACUCAUAAUCAAGGUGAACAAAGGCACGCUCUAUCUCUGGCAGCAGCUCAAGCUUCACUUGUAAGGAUUCCCCAAUAUCAUGAGCCUCUUGCAAGGGCAUGCUAGCAGGCAGUACAAUAUCAACCUCAACAAAGUAGUGAGAUCCAAAAGUGUAAGCACGAACGGUAUCGAUGUGUCUAACUGCUUUGUGAUGGUUCCAACAAAGGUAUGUGAGCUUUUUCAGAUAAUCUGGAGUAGCUGAUUUUCCAACAAGAGAAUUCACAUUUUCCAACACUGUCAUUGACCAUGUGCGAAUGGUGUACAAGGCCAGCUGCAGCAAUAUCAAAACUCAUUGUUGUAUGUAUGCACAAAUAUUUUUAGUUAAAACAGAAUCUCUUACAAUGUUAGUUUGAUUCAUCAAAACAGGCCUUUGUCAAUUUGAAGAAUCAAGUCAGUACUCUACACACAUAUAUAUCUUAUAGGGGUCAGCUUAACAUCAUGAACAAGAAAUCAUAAUCAAUUUAUUGCCCCUUAUUCUUAUAGAAGUCUUAACAUGUCAGAGUCCAAUAAGCAAUAUAUAGGUAAAACAAAGUAGCAAGCCAAAUUUACAAAAAGAAUACACAGUUUGCAGUGAAACAACUGCAGCUGCUUAUGUUAAUAAAUAAGUAGUAGAGAACUAUGUUAAUUACUAAAGAAAACCAUAUAAUUCCCUGCUUUUCAUAUACGGUAAUGGAGAAAAUGAUAACACGAAGGAGAGAGAGGAGGGAGGUGGGUUUACUCAC
rnacentral:misc_RNA from 1 species